UCUGUGAUAAAAUACCUUUUAUUUCACAAAAAUACAGUCGAAGUAACAAAUCAGCUUAUUGUGUUGAACAGAAAAGUAAAAGAUUCUAUGCACAGUACUUUAAAUCAUGGACUUCUUUUUCUACUACUCGACAAGACACCAGUAGUCCACGGUCAGACAUACAUUUUUUUUACGGAUAAAAGGCAAAGAGAGAUUGGGUCCAAAACAGCUUUGGUGCCAUUGAACGGGCCUGCAGAACCCUUGUCCUGAGGCUUGCUCGAGUGUGCAAAGCCAAUUCUUCUCUCGUCAACAUCUCUCAAUUUGGUGAUGUCAAGACUACUGAGGAGGGUUGGUGGAGAAACUGGGGCUCCAUUUAGGGAGAUGAACACAACAACAACAAUAAAAUGUCAGAGAAACCAAAAAAAAAAAAAGAACCACAUUACUGUUGUCAGUGUUAGUUGAGUCUUUUUUUGGCAACCAUGGUGAUGUUCUAAUCCAGGUGUGGACUUUUAGUCACGUGGGGGGGGGAUAAAUACCACCUAGGCUGUACCUCAUUGAGCCGUGAACUUGUUCAAACCUGUUUCAAAUCCCCGUCUCGGUCGGUCUCCACAGACUUCAGGAGAGGCUGAAGCUGCGGUUUUUUUGGGAAACAGAUUUCUGCACAUCUCUGCUUUCCCUCCCCCUUUUGUCUCCGUCUCCGUCUCCGUGUCUCAGAUGCCGGUUUCAUAACUCUAAACAAUGGAACAUUCUACCAAACAAUGCCUGCAUCUCAAUGACUGGGAGUGUGUGACUGGGGGAUUCAAUUACAACGGAAAAAACAUCUAAAUGACUGGUUGCAGAAAUGGUUUAUAAGAAACUAUAAAAAAUGUGGAGAGAAUGUGGCUCGGCAUUGUUGGCCCUGUGGGAGCACCCAUUUGCUAGGUGGAAUGACAGCACACACACACACACACACACACACACAGUCUAUUCUUACGCAAUCCAACAAUUUCUCUGACUCAAGUUGACACACCACCGUUAGUGACUCAAAGACCGCCCAUGUGACAUAUCCCACUGGAAUACACACCAACACCAUCCAGUCCACUUAACUUUGCCAUCCGUUCACAACAACUCCGCCGGGGAAAAACUACACACACACACCACACACUGUGCCUACGGUAACAUCAAAGUGUGCAAAACAAGCCAAAAAAACAUCUUUAUUAUGCAUUAACUUUACACUUUAGUGUCUCUGAGUUCAUAAAUGAACAAAUAGAAAUAAGAUCUCAAAAUACUACUUUAGGUUCUGUCCAACAUAAAAAAGGAAAAGGUGGGAAAAGCAAGGAUGAGUUGAAACAAACGCAACUCAACUUCAGUGAAUACUGAGCUGCCACAACAUCCGCCAUCAGCUACACAGCUAACCUGCACAAAGCUCUUCAUAUUUGGAGUUUCACUGACAAGAAUCAGUCCUGGAGUCCAACUGCAACAAACACUGACUGCUGCCAAUUACUGCAGUCAGCAAUAGAGUCAGUCAGUCAGUCAGUCAGUCAGUCAGUCACACACACAGUCAGUCAGUCAGUCAGUCAGUCAGUCAGUCAGUCAGUCAGUCAGUCAGUCAGUCAGUCAGUCAGUCAGUCAGUCCACACUCGACUCGAGGCAGUCAGUAAAAAUGCAGAAAAGAGCGGAAGGUCACGGAGAACACACGGCAUCAACACACACACACACACACACACACACACACACACACACACACACGGCAUCAACAUGCACAUUCUCUCUGUCUGGCCAGCUGCACUCAGGAAGGAAAUACAGAAUGCAUCUCAGUCGUGGACACGCAACACGCAUCGCAUCUCAGUCACGGACACACACCGCAUCCAGCAGCCUCUCACAGGCUUCCAGCAGCCUCGCACACGCAUCCACCACACGCACACGCUUCCAGCAGCCUCGCACACGCAUCCAGCACACGCUUCCAGCAGCCUGUCAGUCUAAGCUCUUCAGUCAACGAGAAGGUGAAAUAUGACGCUUGAUGAGAAAACGACGAGGAAUAAACACUAAAUGUGUGAACUCGCCUGACCUUUGACCUCUGUCGAGAUGGGGCUGACCUGCUGGCACUCUUUGAGUUUAACUGCAUUUGAAAUGCACGAGAGGACCACUGCCAUCACAGGAAAUGUCCAAGCUGAAAUGACUGAGAUUAAGGGCCUGGCCUACUGGCACAGGGUACGAGUGCCUGGUCUGGCAAAUGACUGUUUUUGAGUAUGCUCAAAGAGUAUGCACACUAAAUGACUUGUCUGCAGAGGGGCUUUUUGAGUAUGCACACUAAAUGACUGUCUGCAGAGGGGCUUUUUGAGUAUGCUCAAAGAGUAUGGACACUAAAUGACUGUCUGCAGAGGGGCUUUUUGAGUAUGUUCAAAGAGUAUGGACACUAAAUGACUGUCUGCAGAGGGGCUUUUUGAGUAUGCACACUAAAUGACUGUCUGUAGAGGGGCUUUUUGAGUAUGCUCAAAGAGUAUGCACACUAAAUGACUGUCUGUCUGCAGAGGGGCUUUUU
ensembl:lncRNA